rnacentral:rRNA from 1 species
CAGCAGCCGCCGCGGUAAUACGUAGGUGGCAAGCGUUGUCCGGAAUUAUUGGGCGUAAAGCGCGCGCAGGCGGAUAGGUCAGUCUGUCUUAAAAGUUCGGGGCUUAACCCCGUGAUGGGAUGGAAACUGCCAAUCUAGAGUAUCGGAGAGGAAAGUGGAAUUCCUGGUGUAGCGGCGAAAUGCGUAGAUAUCAGGAAGAACACCAGUGGCGAAGGCGACUUUCUGGACGAAAACUGACGCUGAGGCGCGAAAGCCAGGGGAGCGAACGGGAUUAGAUACCCCAGUAGUCCCUGUCUCUUAUACA